AAGAAAAGGUCCCAGGACGUGGAUGUUCCUGUAAAUUAAUAGCUAGACAAUCAAGUGUUGUAGUUUUGCUGCAUAUUGCUAUAGCAGCAAAAGACAACUAAUUGUUCGUAAGGCCUUCCUUUUGGAUUAAAGAUGUCACCAAGACAAGUUUUAAUUCUGUUUAUGAUUGGAAUUUCCUGCAAUAUUGUACAGCAGCGUGUUUUAAGUCUUGCCACAUUUUUGCCUAACCCCUACGACCAGUUGUGCAGUUACUACAAGCUGAGAUGUGACUGCGCAAGGAUUCGACAAUUUUGUGUUGAUCCAUCUUGCUGCAACCCAUCACCAUUUGCUGUCAUCCAAAUGACUGGCCAGAUGAUAGAGGAGGAUGACGACUGAAUUAUUCUUCAGAAAACUUGAUUUAUGUAGAGGACAUACAUACUUCAACUAC